UGCUCCUUUGACGUUAGCGGCGGACGGGUGAGUAACACGUGGAUAACCUACCUAUAAGACUGGGAUAACUUCGGGAAACCGGAGCUAAUACCGGAUAACAUAUUGAACCGCAUGGUUCAAUAGUGAAAGGCGGCUUUGCUGUCACUUAUAGAUGGAUCCGCGCCGUAUUAGCUAGUUGGUAAGGUAACGGCUUACCAAGGCAACGAUACGUAGCCGACCUGAGAGGGUGAUCGGCCACACUGGAACUGAGACACGGUCCAGACUCCUACGGGAGGCAGCAGUAGGGAAUCUUCCGCAAUGGGCGAAAGCCUGACGGAGCAACGCCGCGUGAGUGAUGAAGGUCUUCGGAUCGUAAAACUCUGUUAUCAGGGAAGAACAAAUGUGUAAGUAACUGUGCACAUCUUGACGGUACCUGAUCAGAAAGCCACGGCUAACUACGUGCCAGCAGCCGCGGUAAUACGUAGGUGGCAAGCGUUAUCCGGAAUUAUUGGGCGUAAAGCGCGCGUAGGCGGUUUUUUAAGUCUGAUGUGAAAGCCCACGGCUCAACCGUGGAGGGUCAUUGGAAACUGGAAAACUUGAGUGCAGAAGAGGAAAGUGGAAUUCCAUGUGGUAAGC
rnacentral:rRNA from 1 species